rnacentral:rRNA from 1 species
GAAAAGAAACUAACUAGGAUUCCCUCAGUAGCGGCGAGCGAACAGGGAAGAGCCCAGCACCGAAUCCCGCGCCCGUCGCCGGGCGCCGGGAAAUGUGGUGUUAGGGAGGGUCCGCCAUCCCGAGGUCGCGCGUCGCGUCCAAGUCCUUCUUGAACGGGGCCACUUACCCACAGAGGGUGCCAGGCCCGUAGCGACCGUCGCCGGCAGCGGGAGGACCUCUCCUCAGAGUCGGGUUGCUUGAGAGUGCAGCCCUAAGCGGGUGGUAAACUCCAUCUAAGGCUAAAUAUGACCACGAGACCGAUAGCGAACAAGUACCGUGAGGGAAAGUUGAAAAGAACUUUGAAGAGAGAGUUCAAUAGUACGUGAAACCGUUCAGGGGUAAACCUGAGAAACCCGAAAAGGUCGAACGGGGAGAUUCAGCGCGUCUCGAAGCGGGCGAGCCGCGGUGCAGGCGACGGCGGGCGCUACGCGCGCCCACCGCGCCCUCCGCGGCCGCAGUCCCGCGGCGAACGCGUGCACUUCUCCCCCUGUAGGACGUCGCGACCCGUUGGCGGCCGGCCUAAGGUCCGCGGUGGAGACCGGGCGAGCGCCUCACGGCGCCUUCGCCUCGGACCCGCGGCAUCCCGGCCGGCCAGACCGACGGUACGAUCGAGGCGCGGGGCCGCGAACUAAUAUCGCGUCCGGCCCGUCGCAAGCGCGCACGGCAAUCCGGCCGUCGGACAUCCGUGCCGACUCCGGAACCGUUCGGCUGCUGGCGACGCGGUCCUCGGACAGACCCCGAUGCCGUUACGGCACGCCGGUCGGCGACGAUCUAGAUUUGGGUACUUUCAGGACCCGUCUUGAAACACGGACCAAGGAGUCUAGCAUGUGCGCGAGUCAUUGGGACUUGUUGCUAAACCUAAAGGCGAAAUGAAAGUGAAGGCGCGCCUCGCGCGCGCCUAGGGAGGAUGCGCCCGUAUACGAAACGGGCGCCGCACUCCCGGGGCGUCUCUCGGGCUCAUUGCGAGCCCAGGCGCACCCAGAGCGUACACGCUGGGACCCGAAAGAUG